ACACACACACACACACACACACAUAUAUAUAUAUUGCAGUCUGAUAAGAUAAACAGCACAUUGAAACAAUUUCUCAAAAGACUUAGAUACUUCAGAAAAGAAGAUACAUGAAUGGUCAAUUAGCAUAGGAAAAGAUGCUCCACUGUUUAGUCAUCAGGGAGAUCAAUCAGUGCAACAAUGAGAUACCAGUACAUAUCCAUAAGAAUGGCUAAAAUUAAAAAGGCUGAAAAUAGCACCUGUUGGUGAGGAUAUAAAGCACUUGGAAGUCUUAUACUUGUAGGAAUGAAAAAUGGUAUGGCUCCUUUGAAAAUCUAACAGUUUCUUAAAGGUUAAACGUAACACAAAUCAGAUAGACAGUCAUUCCAUUCCUAGGAAUUUACACACUGUGUCUGCACAAUGAUCUGUAUGUGUGUUUCCAGACCAACCUGAGGGGCGGGAUGCUGUUUCUCGUGGCUCCGUAACGAGACACAGAUGAACUGGGGAGGAAGAGAGUUUUGACUUCUGCAACUGGUUACAGGGAAACGGCCUGGAAAUUAUCACCAGACCAACUCAAAAUUGGAAAGUUUUCCUGAGCUAAUGUACCUUCUAAGCUAUAUGUGUAUGUGGAAGUGUGCAUUCAUCUAAAUACAUAAAUGAUUAACUUCUUUUAAUCUAUAAGUCUGAGUCCUGAAGACCUUCCUCUGGAACCUCAGUUAAAUUCAGUUAAUCUAAAUGGGUCUAGGUGCUGGGGGCCCUUAUCUUGUCUCCUGCUAAAUCACAGAGGUUUGGAGAGUCCCUUCAGAUCUCCAAUAAACUUGUUUGUGGAGGCCUGGGGAGUUUCUUCAGACCCCCAAUAAAACUCGUUUAAUACUAAAUGGCUCCUGUUAAGAAUGCCUUCGUUAUUUCGUCAUGCUUUAAGGCCCAGGAAAAACCUAGGCAAAACUCUUGGUGGGCUUUUGUUACAUUCCAGCCUUUGUAUAAGGGCACUGGCUUCUUUUUUUUUUUUCCUCUUAAUAUUUAAUUGAACCACUCAGUCGGUACUGAAACAGUUGUUAGGGAGGCCUGUGUUAGUGAGACCUGGCCUGCCACGUAUGGAUGCUCAUGAUAGUUUCUUCAUAAUAGCCCAAACGCGGAAUGAUAGAAAUGUCCAAUAAUAAGUGAAAGUACAAACAUACAUGGUAUAGCCACACGAAGGAAUACUACUCAGUAUUUACGAGACAUUACAGAUGGAUUUUAAAAUUACAUUGAUGCAUGAAAGAAGGCAGACACAAAAGAACACAGGUAUCAUUUCAUUUAUAGAAAAUGGUUAAAAAUGCAAACGGACCUGAAGUGACAGUGGCUCCUUGGGGCUGAGGGUUGAAAGGCUGAUGAACUGCAAAGGGGUACAAGAAACUUUGGGGCAUAGGGAAUUUCCUCUAUCUUGGUUGUGGCAGUAGUUCCGUUAGUGUAUCCAUUUGUAAACGUGCAUUGAAUUACACAUUUUAAAGUGGUGCAGUCUGUUGUACCGAAAUUAUGCCUUUAUAAAGUUGAUUUCAUCAUCUUAAUUUCUCCAUACUAGCAAUUAGCAGCUAGAAAAUGAAAUUCAAUAAAACAUAAUAGAGAUUAAUAACCAGAAUCAUUACAUGCUUAACAAUACAUGCAAUGAAGCAGGUACGAGGCCCCUAAAAGCAAUUGGUGAGAAAAAUUAAGGCUAAAUAAAUAUAUAUCAUGUUUAUUGAUUGGAAGACUCAAUUUUGUUAGCAUAUUACAUCAACACAAUUCUGAUUAAUAUUUCUAGUAGGAGAUUUUAGAGAAAUUUGAAAGCUAGUUUCAAAAUGUAUUUGAAAAUCAAAGAACCUAGAAUAAGCAAGUCGGUCUU
rnacentral:lncRNA from 1 species